rnacentral:rRNA from 1 species
AUCCUGGGGCCGGCUGAAGCGGGGGUAAGACCCCGUGGAGGGCCGAACCCACUUCGGUUGAAAACGGAGGGGAUGACCCCAGGAUAGGGGUGAAAGGCCAAUCAAACCCGGAGAUAUCUCGUUCUCCCCGAAAUAGCUUUAGGGCUAGCCUCGGCCGUUAACCCGCGGUGGUAGAGCCACCGGAUCGACGAGGGGGCUUCACCGCCUACCGACUCGAACCGAACUCCGAAUGCCGCGGGUCGAGAGGCCGGGAGUCAGAGGGCGUGGGCUAAGCUGCGCGCUCGAGAGGGAAACAGCCCAGACCGCCCGCUAAGGUCCCCAAGUCAUCGCUGAGUGGCAAAGGAUGUGCGUCUGCCCAGACAACCAGGAUGUUGGCUUAGAAGCAGCCAUGCAUUUAAAGAGUGCGUAACAGCUCACUGGUCGAGUGGACAUGCGCCGACAAUUCACGGGGCUAAGCGAUGCACCGAAGCGGCGGACUGAGAAUUCAGUGGUAGGGGAGCUCUCCGCGGGGGGCGAAGCAGCAGGGCGACCUGCUGUGGACCGCGCGGAGGUGAGAAUGCUGGCAUGAGUAACGAGACCAGGGCGAGAAACCCUGGCGCCGUGAGCCUAAGGGUUCCUGGGCGAGGCUAAUCCCCCCAGGGUCAGUCGGGAGCUAAGGCGAGGCCGAGAGGCGUAGCCGAUGCGCAACAGGCGGACAUUCCUGUACCGCCUGCGGACCGCUAUCACCGACGGGGUGACGGAGAAGGGUAGCCGAGCGGGGUUCUGGACGUCCCCGUGAAAGCGCGUAGGGAGCAUCGCAUGGAAAUCAGCGGCGCACGUAUCCUGAGACGCGAGACGAAAGCUUAUGCUGAAGUCGGCGAGCCCAUGCUUCCGAGAAAAACCUCUAGGGAGUGCCGUCGGCGCCCGUACCAAAACCGACACAGGUGGGCGGGUAGAACAUACCGAGGCGAUCGGGAGAACCACGGUUAAGGAACUCGGCAUACUGGCCCCGUAACUUCGGGAGAAGGGGCGCCGCCGGCUGUGAACGCCCUCGCGGCGGGAGCGGCUGGCGGCCGCAGCGAAACGGCCCAAGCGACUGUUUAUCAAAAACACAGGACUCUGCAAAGCCGCAAGGCGACGUAUAGGGUCUGACGCCUGCCCGGUGCCGGAAGGUUACGCGGAUGCGUCAGCCGAAAGGCGAAGCGCUGAAGCCAAGCCCCGGUAAACGGCGGCCGUAACUAUAACGGUCCUAAGGUAGCGAAAUUCCUUGUCGGGUAAGUUCCG